rnacentral:pre_miRNA from 1 species
UCUUCAUUUCACAUGCUCUCUCACAGGUCAGAGAAGCGAGAGAGUGUGGAAAAUGAAGAGA